UUUUGUGUAGAUCCUAAUGUAUUAUUUAAUCUUUGCUUUUUGUUUCUUAAGGUAAAUUUUUUAAUGAUCACUUGUUCUUUCUCUUCUAAUACACACACAACACAUAGAUGAGUGACACAUAGAUGCUUAUAAAUACCACUAAUAUGCAACCGACGAAACACAUUCAUUCUUCUCUGUACUUCAUUGUCACAACCGUUUUGCUGAGACUGUUAAAGAAACUUGAAGACUCUGAAUAGUUACUUAUACAAAGAAGAACAAAUUAAAGCAGCAUUGAACAAGAACCAGUACCAGUCACCGAAGUAUCACCAAAGUACCAGUCACAUUUUGAACAAGAACUAAUUAAUCAGCCGUAAGUCUCUAAUAACCCCUUGUCAACACAAAUCAAUGGCUUCCCACUGUCUGUCUCCAACACUCACCAUUGUAUUUCUGUUUUUUAUAUCCCUGUUAUUCCUCCACUCCAUACCAUCUGUAGUCUCCGGCCUCAAUGUUACUGAGGUCAUGAUGAAUCAGACGACAAUGGGGCCGGAGGAUAGUUUAAAAAUAACUACCGGAAUCUUUAAGGCACUAAAUUUAGAUAAUGAAUUAACUUCUCGGUCGCCGUUCACCUUAUUUAUUUCGGUGGACGCCGCAUUUACCGAGACAGUAUCCUUUAAGCUUCAUUCCGUAACUUUACAUAAUUUAUAUAUUGCGAUGAAGGCGCAUAUUGUGAGGGAGUACCUUUCCCCCGACUUCCUUCACGCAAUGAAUACCUAUUCCCUUCCCACCCUUGCAAGUGAAAUCAUGGGGCUUUCCAUGUAUCACCUUCACAUCUUCGUGGGCGGCACAACCUCUGCAGUGAAGAUAAGCACGGGGUUGUUCACGACGCCGUAGUUCGGCAAACGGUUUAUUCUAAACAUCCCGUCGCCAUAUAUGCCGCCUCAAAGGUUUUAUUACCUAUUGAGAUGUUUGGCGAUGUUGACGAUGUUCCUCCCCCUCCUCCUUGUUGUUCUCCUCCUCAUUCUCCUCCUCCUCCCUACUCGGGACAGCCUCCACACCUUUCUCCUCCUCAGAUUGGUUUGGUGGUGGCGGCUCUCGGUUUUAGUUUUGUAUUUUAGGUCUUUGUUGUAUUUUUUAUUUUUAUUUUUGACAAUAGGUCUCUGUUGUAUAAUUAAUCAGUAUAUGUAUUUUUAUUUCUAGUUGUAUUUGGAUUUGUAACUGUCUCAUUUGUGUAAAACUCUAUGUAUAUGCAAAGGAGAAUGUAAUUUGCUCAA